UACAGAGGUCUCAAGCGUUGUUCGGAUUCAUUGGGCGUAAAGAGCGCGUAGGCGGCCAGAUAAGUCCGGUGUGAAAGUCACAGGCUCAACCUGUGAAUGCCGCUGGAAACUGUCUGGCUAGAGUCCGGAAGGGGCGAGUGGAAUUCCUGGUGUAGCGGUGAAAUGCGCAGAUAUCAGGAGGAACACCAAUAGCGAAGGCAGCUCGCUGGGACGGUACUGACGCUGAGGCGCGAAAGCGUGGGGAGCAAACAGG
rnacentral:rRNA from 1 species